AGCAGCCGCGGUAAUUCCAGCUCCAAUAGCGUAUAUUAAAGUUGUUGCAGUUAAAAAGCUCGUAGUUGAAUUUCGGGGUCAGUAGGUUGGUCAUGCCCAUGGUAUGCACUGGUCUCACUGAUUCCUCCUUCCUGAUGAACCGUAAUGCCAUUAAUUUGGUGUUGCGGGGAAUCUGGACUGUUACUUUGAAAAAUUAGAGUGUUUAAAGCAGGCCAACGCCUGAAUACAUUAGCAUGGAAUAAUGAAAUAGGACGUUCGAUCCUAUUUUGUUGGUUUCUAGGAUUGACGUAAUGAUUAAUAGGGAUAGUUGGGGGCAUUAGUAUUCAAUUGUCAGAGGUGAAAUUCUUGGAUUUAUUGAAGACUAACUACUGCGAAAGCAUUUGCCAAGGAUGUUUUCAUUAAUCAAGAACGAAAGUUAGGGGAGUCGAAGACGAUC
rnacentral:rRNA from 1 species